AAUUAAUGAGCUUGUUAUAUAAGCAUUUGUUUUGAAAACUUAAGAAAGAAUAAUAAUUCUAUUAAUUU
rnacentral:tRNA from 1 species